UUAACAAGCUAUUUUGGCCUGAACUGGUCGCUGUACCAUAAAAAUAUCGGAGUGCAUGCUGGGCACUCCGUGUGUUUUUUUUGGGGGAAAGAAUGUUGCUUGUACAGAUGGUAGCUAGCAAUUUCCAUUGAUAGAAGUUUGUAUUGCACGUUUAUUGUACAAAAUUACUAUUCUGUGUCAUCUACUAUUGUUCAGUUUCAUUGACACUAGGCAACUAUUUAAUAACUAAAUUACGUCAUCCUUCGUAGUAGCAACUGUGUCAUCUAGCUAACGUUAGCUAUCUAGCUUCCCAACCGCAGAGUUAAACACUUUAAAUUUAUGAUUUUAUACUAAUGUUGGCUAAACCUGCCAUUACUGUGGGUAAUUUCAGGAGGUAGUAUUAUGUAGGAACCAUGAACUUUGCUCGUGCAAGGCAUAUGUCCAACUGAUUUCGACUUUAACAGACUGCAGAGACUAGCUAACAUUAGCUAGUAUCCGCUAGCUAGCUAACAGUUACUGGUUUUCAAGCACUCAAGUCCAUCUUGAAUAGGCACAAAGCAACAAUCGAGACAAUGGAUGAGAGCCCAGAAGCUGCUGUAGACAACGAUGACCUUGUUAUUAUAGUGGAAAACGAGGCAGAGAGCUUGCCAGCUGAAGAGGAGAGGGCGAAACAGCUAGGAGGUAGCAUCGGUCUCAUGGACACAUGCCCUGUCUGUAAGUUGAAUUUCCACAAUCGAGAGCCGAAACUUCUGCCAUGCCUCCACUCUUUCUGCAAGAAGUGUCUUCCACCCCCUUCAAGGAACUUAGUCAACACUGAACAACGUCGCGACCCACAACUUCAAGUGGACAACUCGAAACCACUCAAUGUGAUCCGCUGCCCAGUUUGUCGACAAGAGUGCUGGGAGGUGGAGGUGCUGGAUAACUUCUUUGUGAAGGACUCUGUGGAGGUUCCCAGCAGCACAGUGGAGAAGACCAGUCAGGUGUGUAUGAGUUGUGAUGACAACACCGAGGCCACAGGGUUCUGUGUGGAGUGUGUGGAGUUCCUGUGUGUGACGUGCAUUGAGGCCCACCAGAGGGUCAAGUUCACCAGGGAUCAUACCAUACGGCAGAAGGAGGAGAUGUCACCAGAGGCUGUGGGUGCGUCCUCACAGAAGCCAGUGUUCUGUGACAUCCACAAGCAGGAGCCCCUCAAACUGUUCUGUGAGACCUGUGACCGUCUCACCUGCAGGGACUGUCAGCUGCUCAAGCACAAAGACCACAAUUACCAGUUCCUUGACGACGCCUACAGAAACCACAGGCAACACCUGGAAAACAUGACGCAUCAGCUACAGGAGAAGAGGAAAGCCAUAGAAGAAGUGUCCAAUUGCAUCAACAAUGGACUCCAGCAAGUCGAUGAAAACCGCAAGUCUGUCACCAAUGAGAUAAAGAAGUCAAUUUGCAACUUGAUCAUGGAGAUCAACAGAAAGGGAAAAAUCUUGGUCAAUCAACUUGAGACACUGACGAAGGACCAUGAGGUCGGACUAAAGAAACAACAAGAAGAUGUCAGCCACCUGACCAGACAUCUAGAUCACGUCAUCAACUUCACCAAGUGGGCCACAGCCAGUCACAGUGGCACAGCUCUCCUGUACUGCAAGAGACUGAUUCUUUGCCAAAUCCAUUACCUAAUGAGGGCCAACUGUAACGCAUCCAUCGUCCCUCAGAGCUCAGUUCGCUUCCAGUGUCGCUCCGGUUUCUGGGCCUCAAAUGUCGAUCUUGGUUCUUUGGCAGUAGAGAGAAUCCCUGGUCGUCAGCCCAGUUCCUUGCAGCAGGGCUUCCCUCCUGGCCACCCCAGCCAGCCUGGCCCCGGCCCCAGAGGAGAGGGCCCUCCCGGGGCUUUCCCUCCAGGCUCCUCCGCCCACCAGCGUGGGAGCACCCUUGCCCAGCUCCAGCUGCAGGUAGAGAAGCUUGCCCAGCACCCCAACAGGGCUGGACAGCCCCCUCCCAACCACUGGUCCUGGUACCAGCAGGGUCUGAAGCUCCCGGGGCCAGGGGGCCCCCCUCCACAGAGGCCCCACCAGGGGGGUUCUCCGUCGCAAGGUCCCCCCAACAUGGUCCAGAUCCAGCAGCCGGGCCGGAGUUACGGACCCCCCGGGCCCCAAACACAUCCCAACCCCAGGAGCCCCACUUCUAUGCUGCAAAAUGCAGGAUUCCCUCCGCAGUCUCUGAGGGAUCUCAUCCACAACUCCAGCUUUCCUCCCAAACCAAUGGAUGUGUUACAGGGUACCUCCCGCUACUCUCAUGCACCCCCUCCCAACACAGGACCCAUCAGCACUCAAGCUUCUAUACACCAGCGUAACAUGAUGGAAGCCGCACAACUGAGGAGGAGUGACCCCAGUGGAGCUUCAUCAUCAUUAUCCAUGCCCAACCCCAGAGCUAGUUAUGCGCCGAGCCUAGCUACUGCCUUCCCAGACAGACAUGCACAAGGAAGACAGAAUUCCCCCAUGUCCAAAUCUUCCUCUGAAGCCAACAUAGGGUCUGCUUCCUGGAAGCGCACAGAGCCUAAUGCGGCGGCUCCCCCCUCAGCUAAGCGGAGGCGAAGGUCGUCCCCCGGACCAAUCAUCGUCAUCAAGGACGAACCAGAGGACGAUGACGAAGUCAGCUUUGUGCAGUCUAGUGUUGGAGCCUCAGCCAGCCUGCCAGACAGCAGUACAGGCAUCCAGCCCAAGUCCCAGGCCCAGCCCCAGCAGCAAUCUCUCCCAGCACCCAUGUUGGAGCCCCAGCUAGAGACCCAGCUAGAGACCCAGCUAGAGACCCAGCCAGAGACCCAGCCAGAGACCCAGCCAGAGACCCAGCCAGAGACCCAGCCAGAGACCCAGCCAGAGACCCAGCCAGAGACCCAGGUAGAGCUAGAGGCAGACCCCCAACCAGACCCAGAAAAGGCCACAGGUGUCACUGAAGACGACCCCAAUGAAGACUGGUGCGCUGUGUGUCAGAACGGGGGAGAACUGCUCUGCUGUGACCGGUGUCCCAAAGUCUUCCAUCUGAACUGUCAUAUACCUACACUUAGAGAGUCUCCCAGUGGUGAGUGGUUCUGUUCGUUCUGUCGUGACCUGACCAGUCCUGAGAUGGAGUAUAACCCAGAUAGCCAGGGAGAAUUGCCAGCCAUGAAGGAGGAGCCAGGAUCAGAGGGAUUCCCGCCAGUUGAUAAAAGGAAAUGUGAGAGACUGUUGCUCUGCAUCUACUGCAACGAGUUUAGUACAGAUUUCCAGGAGCCUGCCUCACUGUCGUCAAUCCCAGAGUAUAAGGAGCUGAUUGAGACUCCAAUGGACCUGUCCAUAGUGAAGGGCAGGCUGGAAUCUAAGGAGAGCCCGCGUUACUGCAGUGCUGAGGAGUUUGUCAAGGAUGUCAGGCUCAUAUUCAGGAACUGUGCAAAGUAUUACCAGGCAGACACUGAGGUGGGAGGUGCAGGACUGAGCCUGGAGGAGUACUUUGAGGAGCAGCUGAAGUUCCUCUACCAAGACAGGAGCUUCCCUGGGGGCAGAGAGGAGGGCAUGAUACCCCCUGUGGAGGACGAGAUGGAAGAAGGGAUGGAAGACGAUGGGAUGGCUCCUAACGAAGGGGAUAUGCCCCCUGUCGAGGACGACCUAACGCCUGUUGAAGAAGGGAUGCCUUCUAUGGAGAAAGAAGGAACUGAAGAGGGGAUGGAUCCUGUGGAAGGAGAGAUGGAGGAAGAAGGGAUACCUCCUUUAGAAGAGAGCAUGGAAGAGGAAGAGACUUCUCCAGUGAAAGAGGACUUACCACCUUGUGAUGCUACUGAAUCAGUAGAUCCAUCAAUAAGGGGUGCAUCAUCUCCCAACCUUUCCAGCAAGGAGGCUCCCCAACCCCUCUCAGAUACUCCAGACAACCCUCCCUGCAAGGAGGCUUCCCAACCCCUCUCGGAUACCCCAGACAAACCUCCUGACUCCCAGGGCACCAGCCCUGCUGACUCCCAGGACACCAGCCCUGCUGCAGGCUUAGCCACAGAAAAUGAGGGGACGACUGAAGAAGUGAGAGACAAAGCAGAAGAGGAAUGAUUAUUGUUCUUCCACUGUAAAUUGGAUGGACAAUAAAGCUUCUUGAAUUAUCUAUAGGAUCUGUUGUCAGAAAAUACUGGCAGACUUCUUUGCUGUAUCAUACACUUUCUGAUAUGAUUUGCAAUAAUAAUAAAUAAAACAGAGAAACCCAGGAUGUAUAACAGGGUACAGAGAUGGACAAUGAAUGCACAAAUGUUUCUUGUUACAAAGCAAUGUAGCUACAUGUAUGAACUAAUAAUGCACAGACUGUUCUGUCUGCUGAGAUUGAGAAGUUACAAUCAUGGUGUAACUGAUAAACUUUCUACAAUAACAAUCAUAACACACAAAUAAUGUCCAUUAUUGAUAAGUUGUUUGCAAUUUUCCAUGUUGGCUUUUGUAAAGAAGAAUGCCAUAUAAUACUGUAUAUUUAUAAUAAUGUACGUUUAUUUAUCCAUCUCUAAAGGAAAAAUAGCUGCAAAGACCGAAAACCAUAGCCCUACAUCAUAUCUUAAAACUCUGGUCAAUUAUUUUUAACAGACAUUUUUAUGUGUACUUGUGUUUGUGUUAAUUAGUUAAAUUAUAGGCUACUCUUGUACAGAACAUUGUAAAGGAGGUAUUCUGAAAGGUAGACUCAGCGAUAUAACAGAUGCAAAAAGUACACUGCAUAAAGGGUCAAUUUCAGCGACAACAAAGAGCGUGAGGCUCAACUUCUCUGCUGUUUUGGUGCCCUGGCUACCGUGAAGCCAACUGCGCACAUGAGCAGAUACUGUGUGAGGGCGAAGCGUUACAUCUACUCAUCUCAAUAUCUGAUGUGCUGCUGGUGGCAAUGUCAUUUCGCGAAGUCUACCUUUAAGACUGUUCACUAGAUUACAGGGAUGCAAAAUGUAAAUAUUUUUCUCAGAAUGAACGUGCAGUGUUCUCGAAUGGUGCUGCUUGCUUUUUGGCAUGUAAAGAGAAUCAAACUGUUCCCCUCACUUUUCCUUGUUGCAUGUUUUCUUGUUGCCUGGCUACCCAGACUUUGUCUGGCCGAACGCUACGCCACACCCACGGACGUUAAUUUCUUCUCCACUAUCAAUCUAGAUCUAAGUACCUCCCCAACCCUUCACCAAAUGCGAACACAUUUGGGGCCGUCUGAUUGGUCCAGAGACUGAUGGGUUGGGCCAGAGCCAGAACACACGUGGGUAAAGCGUCCAGUUAGAAAAUGUGUAAUUGACUUUGAUACUCUGAUUGGUUAGAGAUGAUCCAAUCGAUGAAGACUUUGUUUUGUACAACGCCCCUCAUCCCCACCACAAGACUUCAAUAGAUGCUGUAAAGAGGUCACUGGAAAGCAGACUGGGGGGAUAGAAGGAUGCCAGAUAUUAAUGAGUGUGUGGCCAGAUCCCACAGCUGCGCUGUGACAGAGAGCUACUUCAACGUACAGGGAGGGUUCAGAUGUCUGUCUUUCGAGUGUCCACCCAACUUCCGAGUACAUACAGGACCAGUUGUUUUUUAUCCCUCCCCUUAAGAAUCUCUUUCUACAACAUCACUUUCCCCACCAAUAUCUCCGUGCCGGCCGAUGUCUUACGCAUGGGGCCCUCCAACUCAGUCCCAGGGGACGACAUCCAGCUAGACAUCAUUGCCGGAGACCAAGGCGGCUUCUUCAGUGCCCAGAGACUGGCCCACAGAGGAGUGAUCUCACUGCAAAGCAUAGUGACGAAACCCCGGGACUUCUUGCUCACGGUGGAGAUGAGGCUCAUACGUUACGGGACUGUUCAUCUUUAUAUGGCUAAGAUUGCUUUGUUUAUCACCCACGAGCAGCCAAUCCCACCAAGACUACGAUUCUAAAGACCAUUCUUUAACCCCGCUGUCAUAAUGAACGUCAUAAUGAAGAAUCAUCUUAUUUUUUUUCCGUAGCAUUCCUGAACCUUCUGUGUUCUGGGGAGGUUACAUGGUGAUACUCAAGGGUUGUGGCAAUGGGUGUUGUGAUGUGUAAUGUUCACUAGGUGGGGAUCAUAGGCAGUAUAAGGAUCUAAUCUACCCAUCUACCUCGUGAUUUGCAUGGCAGCUUUGCUUUGAAUUUUGAGCUUUUGUUGCUUUUUAUUGUAUUUUUUUGUAAUUACAAUGAAUUUGUUAUACAGUGAUUUUUUUCCCUUUCUAAUUUCCCUUCUACCCCUUAACCACAUACUAAUACCAUACGUAUUGCUCUCACUAGCAAUGGCUGCUGCAGCAAUAUCCAUCUAUAUUAUUCUAUCCUCUGGCGAUUAUUAAUGGCAGUUGGUGAAUUCAUAUUUCCUGUUGCCAUAUCUACCUCUGCCAAACUGCCUUAACAUAGGAUCAAGGAUGUCCCUCUUUAGUGGAGCAAUGAAAAAUAAAGCAUGCCACUCAUUUAUGGAUACCUGGUCCCUGGCCAGUGGCGGGAGAUCAAUUAGUGGUCUCCUAGCGUUACAGCCGAGAAGACGGAUGAUGAUCUUAGUGUUAGUGUUGGGUGGUUAUCAAUAAGUACUACUGGUAAAUGAUACGAAAACACAAGGAGCUGUAAUCGACUUGAGCCAGACAACUUUUACUUUCCAGUGAUCAGGUUCUCUUUUAUAGUAUAGUCUGGAUUGUGGACUACUACUCCCCUUGGCUUUGUGGUUAGGCAUCUGUUGAAUACAGAAGCUGUUUUGAAAUGUAUGGAUGGAUAUUUCCUAUUGACAGUCUAUGGAAUAUUUAAGAAAUUUGAGAUUCCAAUUCCGGUCUCUGUUUCUUUUGAUGUAUUAACUACCAGCUGUGGCUCACUUCUAUCUUCCCAUCCAGUCACCUUAGUUGACAUUUUCUGUCUGACUUGCUGUGGGGUGGCUAUAGUUACUACAGUUACCCUCUGUGUCAAUGCCCUCACAUCAGAAACCACACAAUAAUUUUGUGGCUUUGGCCCACAGACAUGAAGGCAAACUUGGACCCACAUGCUACCACUGCUAAAGACUAAUUUCAAGCCCCCUUCCCCUUUGGAAGCUUGACUUUCAUGAAGAGCUUAUUUUUUUCACCUCAGGAGACCCUUUGUUUGGCUUCUCCUCUUAAGCAUUGAUACAUUAAUAAACCAUUGAAAAAUACUAUUGAGCCUCCCGGGUGGAGCAGUGGUCUAGGGCACUGCAUCGCAGUGCUAACUGCGCCACCAGAGUCUCUGGGUUCGCGCCCAGGCUCUGUCGCAGCCGGCCGCGACCGGGAGGUCCGUGGGGCGACGCACAAUUGGCAUAGCGUCGUCUGGGGUAGGGAGGGUUUGGCCGGUAGGGAUAUCCUUGUCUCAUCGCGCUCCAGCAACUCCUGUGGCGGGCCGGGCGCAGUGCGCGCCAGCCAAGGGGGCCAGGUACACGGUGUUUCCUCCGACACAUUGGUGCGGCUGGCUUCCGGGUUGGAGGCGCGCUGUGUUAAGAAGCAGUACGGCUGGUGUGGUUGUGCUUCGGAGGACGCAUGGCUUUCGACCUUCGUCUCUCCCGAGCCCGUACGGGAGUUGUAGCGAUGAGACAAGGUAGUAAUUACUAGCGAUUGGAUACCACGACAAUUGGGGAGAAAAUGGGAUAAAAAAAUAAAUAAAAAAAAAUACCAUUGAAAAUAUAUAUGGAACAGUUACCCUCUGUGUCAAUGCCCUCACAUCAGAAACCACACAAUCAUUUUGUGGCUUUAGCCCACAGACCUGAAGGCAAACUUGGACCCACAUGCUACCACUGCUAAAGACUAAUUUCAAGCCCCCUUCCCCUUUGGAAGCUUGACUUUCAUGAAUAGCUUAUUUUUUUCACCUCAGGAGACCUUUUAUUUGGCUUCUCCUCUUAAGGAUUGAUACAUUAAUAAACCAUUGAAAAUAUAUAUGGAUCUAUUCAGGUGUUGCCAGAGUUUUGUGUGAAAUGCUCUGGAUUGUGGAAGUGUUUAUCCAUUCAUCACCAAUGCAUUGAUGCAUUGAAUGAGGGAGCCUUGUGAAUUUGGUUAUUUUUUUGUAAGUGUUGUUGGCAUUUCAACACUGAUUUGUAUUGUUACUGUAUUUCAGUUUACAUAAUGUACAGUGGCAAUAAAAAGUAUGUGAACCCUUUGGAAA